rnacentral:rRNA from 1 species
UUUUAUUUGAGAGUUUGAUCCUGGCUCAGGAUGAACGCUGGCGGCGUGCCUAACACAUGCAAGUUGAGCGAUUUACUUCGGUAAAGAGCGGCGGACGGGUGAGUAACGCGUGGGUAACCUACCCUGUACACACGGAUAACAUACCGAAAGGUAUGCUAAUACGGGAUAAUAUAUUUGAGAGGCAUCUCUUGAAUAUCAAAGGUGAGCCAGUACAGGAUGGACCCGCGUCUGAUUAGCUAGUUGGUAAGGUAACGGCUUACCAAGGCGACGAUCAGUAGCCGACCUGAGAGGGUGAUCGGCCACAUUGGAACUGAGACACGGUCCAAACUCCUACGGGAGGCAGCAGUGGGGAAUAUUGCACAAUGGGCGAAAGCCUGAUGCAGCAACGCCGCG